rnacentral:rRNA from 1 species
GACGAACGCUGGCGGCGUGCUUAACACAUGCAAGUCGAACGUGAUUUUUGUGGAAAUUCUUUCGGGAAUGGAAAUGAAAUGAAAGUGGCGAACGGGUGAGUAACACGUGAGCAACCUACCUUACACAGGGGGAUAGCCGUUGGAAACGACGAUUAAUACCGCAUGAGACCACAGAAUCGCAUGAUAUAGGGGUCAAAGAUUUAUCGGUGUAAGAAGGGCUCGCGUCUGAUUAGCUAGUUGGAAGGGUAAAGGCCUACCAAGGCGACGAUCAGUAGCCGGUCUGAGAGGAUGAACGGCCACAUUGGAACUGAGACACGGUCCAAACUCCUACGGGAAGCAGCAGUGGGGAAUAUUGCACAAUGGGGGGAACCCUGAUGCAGCGACGCCGCGUGAGCGAAGAAGGUUUUCGAAUCGUAAAGCUCUGUCCUAUGAGAAGAUAAUGACGGUAGCAUAGGAGGAAGCCCCGGCUAAAUACGUG